AACGAACGCUGGCGGCAGGCUUAACACAUGCAAGUCGAACGGGUGUAGCAAUACAUCAGUGGCAGACGGGUGAGUAACACGUGGGGAUCUGCCCAAUGGUACGGAAUAGCUCCGGGAAACUGGAAUUAAUACCGUAUGAGCCCGCAAGGGGAAAGAUUUAUCGCCAUUGGAUGAACCCGCGUCGGAUUAGCUAGUUGGUGUGGUAAAGGCGCACCAAGGCGACGAUCCGUAGCUGGUCUGAGAGGAUGAUCAGCCACACUGGGACUGAGACACGGCCCAGACUCCUACGGGAGGCAGCAGUGGGGAAUAUUGGACAAUGGGCGCAAGCCUGAUCCAGCCAUGCCGCGUGAGUGAUGAAGGCCUUAGGGUUGUAAAGCUCUUUCGCCGACGAAGAUAAUGACGGUAGUCGGAGAAGAAGCCCCGGCUAACUUCGUGCCAGCAGCCGCGGUAACAC
rnacentral:rRNA from 1 species